GAAUAGUCACUUUGACCAUAAGAGGCUAAAUCUUUUAGAAAGAGGCUCUUAGAUUAAACCAUUAUUUUAAAGAAAUACGUACAUAAACAUUUUAUUUCAGAUAGAUAGAAGACUUUUCUUAAGUAAACUAACUUUUUCUUUUCUUUUCUUUUUUUUUUGUGUGUGUUUUUUUUCUAAAAAAUAAAAUUAUAAAACAAUUAGGUGGCUUUGAAAAAUUAGGCCCUGCUUGGAUUGAUUCUCCCAAAACAGUUUUCUGUUUUGAGAAUUUCAAAAACUCAAAAAACUCAUUUUUGUGCUGCUUGGACCAAUUUCUGAAAAACAGUUUUUGGAAAACAGAGUUAGGAGAGUAUGGGUAUUCUGAGAACAACUUAAAGUUGUUUUAGGAGUUUUCAGAAGAAUUAGAAACCACGGAGAAUAGCAGGUCACUUAACAAAAAAAGACGCUAAACGAGGUGUCGUUUAAAACCCUACCUUUAAACCGUACGUUCUUCUUCCUUCCUCUCUCUACCCUUCUUCUUCCCCUCUCUACUGUAAAGCUUUGGUUGUUUGCUCUCUUACUGUCCCAUGUUGGUGAUUUUUCUCCCUCAAACUUGGGCUUCGCCUUCAAGGAAUGGAGCCUAGCUUUUUUUCAAUCAUUAGAUCAAGUUCUCUCGACUUGGGUUUAAGGAUGAUGGCAUUGCUAUAAUUAAUUUCACUUCUUCAGUGUUGCGAAGGUGGCCUGACUUGGGUUUUUGAUUGGUUUUGGCCGGAUUCUUCUCUUUUUUCAUGGUAUGUCUAUGUCAGAGUAAAUGAUGUGAUUUGAUCUCAGAGGUCGUGAUGCAAAGUGUUAUGACGCUACCAAGAUGCGAUGCCAAGUCAGACAAAGUUCAUAGUGAUUGUCAUGAAUUUGAAGUAGCCGAUGCGAUGAAUUUACAGGUACACGACAGUUCCAGGCUUAGACGUGUUCGUGCUGAGCAGAGGUCUCUAUAUUCACUCUUCCGACAAUAUGGUUAACGCUAGAAAUGGACAGAACAUGCAAGGAACUAAGAAGGAAAGGAGAGCGGCACGUAGGCAACAAUAUCUCCUACGGCGUCAGCAAAUGGAGGAAGAGCAGCAAAGGCUUGGGUUUCAAGACAUGGGUCAGUUUCAGGAGGAACGGGAGGAAGUUCAACAGGCUCAGGAACGGGUCAGGGAUCCAGAGAUUCCUCCUCACCUCAAUGACCUCGUUGCUCGGGCUAUAGAAGCUGGGGUAACAACUGUACUUCGGAAUCAGCCUCAGGUACAGCCGGCACCGCUACCAGCACCGGUUGUUCAGACGGAUUCUUGGGGAAAGGCUAGGAGCUCUUUCACAAAGGGGAGUCCACCUGUGUUCUCAGGCUUCACCGAUACGAGAGUAGCUCACCAAUAGAAACAGGACAUUGAGCGUCAUCUUCGUUUGGUUCAGUGCACGGAGGUUCAGAAGCAGAUGCUUGCUACUUUCAAGCUAAUUGGGGAUGCACUAUAGUGGUGGGAGUCAGUUACCAUCCCAGAGGAGAGGAUGACAUUGUCUUAUGAUGAGUUCAGUGCUCGCUUUGACAAGAAAUAUUUUCCCUAUGCAGUCAGGGCAGCUAUGAAGACCGAGUUUCUAAAUCUGCAGCAGGGAAACAUGACAGUGGCGGAGUAUGAGCAGCAGUUCACACGUUUGUCUCUCUUUGCACCGGAAGAGGUGGAUAUAGAGGAGAAAAAGCGUAACAGUUUCGUCAAGGGACUGAUGUGGUUUAUCAAGAGAGCUAUUACAGGUAGUCCAGCCUAUACUACCUAUGCCCAGGUAGUAGACGCCGCGCUACAACAGUAUCAGUUGACUGUGGACAUCAGACAGGCUCGUGGUGAGAAGCGGGGUGAUAAAGACUCUACUAAUCAGUCAGCUGAAAAGGGGAAUGGCAAUGGUCACCGGCAGAAUGACAAAGGCAAGUUCCAGGGGCAACAGCCUUGGAAGAAGCACAAGGGUGGUUUAGAUGCUCACCGGAAUGGGGCACCUAUUCAGAGGCAACAGAAUGGGGGACCACAUGUAGGAUAAGGUCAGCCACAGGUUAACCGACAGAGGAGGCCAUUUGGUACUUUCCAGGGUAGUUGUUACACUUGUGGAGAGUAUGGUCAUACCACCAGACAGUGUCCUACAGCAGGACAGGGACAAGGACAGUAUGUGCAGCAGGGACAGAGGGCACCAGUGCCUCUACCAGCUCCACAGGUUCCACGGAUUUAGGGACAGACACAUCUGGCUUUACCGGCACCGCCGCAGACUCAAGGACAGGCACCACAACAGUUGCACUAUGGCAGGGUGUAUAACCCGAUGCCACAGGAUGUUCAGGCACCUCAGACUAUUGAGGGUACACGACAGUUCCAGGCUUAGACGUGUUCGUGCUGAGCAGAUGUCUCUAUAUUCACUCUUCCGACAAUGUAGGACUGACUCUAUAGUUUUAUUUCUGGAUGUUCAUUACAGUUAUUUUAUCUUCCGUUUGGAUGUUUAAUAGGGGUCCACUAGAGAUGGAUUCCUGAGUUGUAAACUGAUGGAGUUUUGGAGUUUGGGUCUGACGGAUUUUAAUAAUUAUAAUAUUUUGCGGAUUCUAUUUCUAGUUC